GACGAACGCUGGCGGCGUGCUUAACACAUGCAAGUCGAACGGUGAAGCUCCUUCCUUUUUGGUGGGUGUGGAUGAGUGGCCAACGGGUUAGUAACUCGUGAGUAACCUGCUCCCUUCUUCUGGAUAACUGCAUGAAAGUGUUGCUAAUACAUGAUAUUCUUGAUCUGUCGCAUGAUGGGUCUGUGAAAGAUUUUGUUUCGGUGGGGGAUGGGCUCGCGGCCUAUCAGUUUGUGGGUGGGGUGAUGCCCUACCAAGGCGGUGACGGUUAGCCGGCCUGAGAGGGUGGACGGACAGAGAGGGAGUGAGAGACCGAACAGACUCGUAAGGGAGGAAGAAGGGAGGAAUAGUGGACGAUGGGAGGAAGGCUGAUGCAGGGACGCCGCGUGAAGGAUGGAGGCCGUGGGGUAGAGAACCUUUGUAGAGAAUGAAGUAGGUCAGCCUCGUUUGCGGGUGGGUUGACGGUAGCUAGAUAAGAAGCGCCGGCUAACUACGUG
rnacentral:rRNA from 1 species